rnacentral:sRNA from 1 species
AGUUGAGAGGUUUUUCAUGCUUGCAUGAAGAAACUUCUCAAUUUGAGGCCCGCCCCCGCAUGAGAAAGGAGCCCGAGAGGGCGGAUUUCAAAUGAGGGUAGGAUUUUGGGAGCCCGCAGGGCGGAUUAA